rnacentral:lncRNA from 1 species
CUUCCUGUCCUCUCACAAUUUCUCCUUCAAACUCACAGUGUUCAAAGGAUUAAACAGAUCUUUGGACUUCAGUUGGUGCUUCUUCAAAGACUAGCAGGAAACUUGUGUUAAAAACCCAAAGAGGAAGUUAGAGAGCCCUGAAAUUGAUCCACUUUCUUCAUCUUAUUUUUGUUAACAAAAAUCUUCCAGGAACUGUUUGAUGGUAAGGGAUAUUGCCCAGGAUGAGGGGUGGAGGACACUGGUUGUGUUAA